AAUUGCUGCAAAUUAGUCAAAAUUGUGAAAAAAUUACGUUAUAUGUGAUAAAAAAGUGUGAUAAAAAAAUAAAAUUAUUUAUUUAUUUUCGUAUGCAAUAUCAUAUUGCAAUAUAUUUUUAUAAUAAAUAUUUAUAAUAACUAACUGUCCCUAGAGCAAGUGACAAACAGCUUGGUGGUUGGUACCUGAGACCCAAGUUCAAAUCUUAGUUGAUUCACAUUUCUAGUUAAGUUUAUUUUUAAAUGAAAUAAACGAAGCGGAUAGCGUGCUAUAUAUCUCUCAAAAUUUUUUUUUUUUUUUUAUAAUAUAUAUUUUUUAUAAUUUUAUUGUAAAAUACGAAAAUAUAAUUUUAAUAUAUAGAAAAUUAGUUUA
rnacentral:lncRNA from 1 species